GCCGUCUUAGCUCAAUCGGUAGAGCACUUCCAUGGUAAGGAAGGGGUAGCUGGUUCGAUUCCAGUAGUCGGCA